ACCGACCACCCUGAGCGCCGCCACUACUCCCACAGUACCGCGGAAAUGCCGAAGUCGCAAAAGCGGCAGGCCACCGUCGCGCCGGUGCCGACGCCGCGCCGCCCACGACCCGGAAUGGAGUACCGCGCGCGGUCCGACGAAGCGUGGUACCCCGCGCGCGUGGUGGUGCAGGACGGCUGGCUGCGCGUCAUGUUCGAGAAUUUCCCCGAGGAUGCGGACGAGUGGUACGAUCCAGGGGCUGACCUCGCAUCCCUUGGCGACGUGGAGGCGCUCCGCGCGAGGUUCCGCCGGGAAAGCUCGGCCCUCAACGACGCCCGCUGCGGAGAUCUCUGCCCGGGCGACCGGCUCUGCCUCGCGUGCGAUAUCGAGGGCGACGCCGAUGAGCUCAAGUACUACGACGCCGUCCUCGAAACCGUGGAGAAGGCAGCGCACGGCACCGUGGACGGCGUGGAGCGGUGCGCGUGCCGUUUCACCGUGCGCUGGACGGAGGGGCCGCGCCGCGGUUGCUGGGACAACGUGGGCGUCGAGGUGGUCUGCUGCGUGCAGGAGUCGCCGAUCCAGGAUCCGGUGCUGACCGAGUUCCUGGACGAUGUGAGAAACAGGUUCGGCGAGGACCAAGGGGAGGCGACGGCAGCGUCUCAGCAGGCAGCCCCGACCCGGACACCAGCAGGC
rnacentral:rRNA from 1 species